CACGUAGGCGGCUUUUUAAGUCAGGGGUGAAAUCCUGGAGCUCAACUCCAGAAUUGCCUUUGAUACUGAGAGGCUUGAGUCCGGGAGAGGUGAGUGGAACUGCGAGUGUAGAGGUGAAAUUCGUAGAUAUUCGCAAGAACACCAGUGGCGAAGGCGGCUCACUGGCCCGGUACUGACGCUGAGGUGCGAAAGCGUGGGAGCAAACA
rnacentral:rRNA from 1 species